rnacentral:rRNA from 1 species
GGGUGACGAGCGGCGGACGGGUGAGUAAUGUCUGGGAAACUGCCUGAUGAGGGGAUAACUACUGGAAACGGUAGCUAAUACCGCAUGAUGUCGCAAGACCAAGUGGGGGACCUUCGGGCCUCACGCCAUCGGAUGUGCCCAGAUGGGAUUAGCUAGUAGGUGGGGUAAUGGCUCACCUAGGCGACGAUCCCUAGCUGGUCUGAGAGGAUGACCAGCCACACUGGAACUGAGACACGGUCCAG